AUUUAUAUAGUUUAAAAAAAACAUUACAUUUUCAUUGUAAAAAUAAAAAUUAAAUUUUUAUAAAUA
rnacentral:tRNA from 1 species